rnacentral:lncRNA from 1 species
AUGAAACAAAAGAAAAAAGAUCUGUGUGGAUGCUUAACGAUCUCACACUUUUGCCUUCCAGGAGACGGAACUGUUAGAUCUCAGCCUUGUCAAAGACGCCAGAUGUGGGAAGCAUGCCAAGGCGCCCAAGCUUAUGAAAACUUUCACAGGAAUGGUCUACUUUUGGAUAAUGCAGGAAACCUGUGCAUAUAUCGCCACAGUCACAUAAGGUAGGUUCGAGUAAAACUAAAUACAGAAAGCUGGUCGGGUGUUGUUUUUCUAAUCCUUAUAGCAGAAUGAUGCCUUUUCAAUUUCACUGUUGCUUUGACACAUGACCAUUGACUUUCUGCUUCUGCCAGGCACUGUUCUGGGCACUAGGGGAAAAAACAACUCUGUUCUCAAAUAACAUUCUUUUUAGGAGCAAGAAACAUGUGGUGGUGGUAAACUGGCUUUCCAGGAAAAAAGCAAAAGAAAGAAAGACAGGGAGGGAGAUAGAGAGAGAAGGAGGGAGGGACGGAGGGGAAGGAAGGAAAGAAGGGAGGAAGGGAG